rnacentral:rRNA from 1 species
GUGCCAGCCGCCGCGGUAAUACCGGCAGCUCGAGUGAUGACCGCUGUUAUUGGGCCUAAAGCGUCCGUAGCUGGCCAUGCAAGUUCGUCGGGAAAUCCAUCAGCUCAACUGAUGGGCGUCCGGCGAAAACUGCAUGGCUUGGGACCGGAAGGCUCGAAGGGUACGUUCGGGGUAGGAGUGAAAUCCUAUAAUCCCGCACGGACCACCGAUGGCGAAAGCACUUCGAGAAAACGGAUCCGACAGUGAGGGACGAAAGCCAGGGUCUCCAACCGGAUUAGAAACCCGAGUAGUCC